rnacentral:rRNA from 1 species
CUACGGGAGGCUCCAGUGAGGAAUAUUGCACAAUGGAGGAAACUCUGAUGCAGCAACGCCGCGUGGAGGAUGACGCAUUUCGGUGUGUAAACUCCUUUUAUAUGUCAAGAAAAUGACGGUAGCAUAUGAAUAAGCACCGGCUAACUCCGUGCCAGCAGCCGCGGUAAUACGGAGGGUGCAAGCGUUACUCGGAAUCACUGGGCGUAAAGGACGCGUAGGCGGGAUAUCAAGUCAGGUGUGAAAUCCUACAGCUUAACUGUAGAACUGCACUUGAAACUGGUAACCUAGAGUAUGGGAGGGGGAGAUGGAAUUAGUGGUGUAGGGGUAAAAUCCGUAGAUAUCACUAGGAAUACCUAAAGCGAAGGCGAUCUCCUGGAACAUAACUGACGCUAAGACGUGAAAGCGUGGGGAGCAAACAGGAUUAGAUACCCCCGUAGUC